ensembl:lincRNA
GCAGAAGUCCCAAAAUGAAGCUUGUGAACUAUGUGAAUCAGUGUCCUAAAAAUUCCAAUUAAAUUACUAUGAUGGAUGAUACACUGGUGAUACAGGAGGGCAGAAACACUGACAUUUCUCUUUACUUUGCCUUGCAGAAAUAUUCAGACUCUUUCGACGGUAAUAGUGAAAUAACAAAAAGAUAUAUACACAUGUUUUCAAACUUCACAAGCUGGACUUCCAAGGUCAAGAUAUGGUACAGACUAGGCGCGCCUGAAUCUUUGCAUGAAAUUAAGCUUCUGAUGAACGGACCUUACAGUGUGAAAAAGUCUUUAUUUACUUGGUAACUCCAACAGCUUACUAGUAUUGACAAAAAGAGUCAUCACACUAUAGUUAAGUAUGUGGUUUUCUUGUUUCCUUGAUGCGGUCAGUUCCACAUUUUAACUUACAUAUGCAUUGAACCCGGAACACUUCAUUUGAAUCAACCCUGCAGAAUCAUGAAGUUUUUAAUAUUUUUUCUUACGCUGGCUGGGAUGAAUGCGAGGCAGACAGCUUUAGAUUCACCUAUACAACCUGUUAUUAAAGUAACACCAAAAAGCAUCAAUAUAGAAAAUACAGUAACAAUUCGAUGUGAAAGUCAGAAUGGAAAAUUGUGUCACUUCUACACUCAUAACAGCACAGACCCUUUCAGAUCAGAACCAAACAAGGCUGGAGUCUGUCAGAUUACCGUCAAUGGGUGGGACAUUCUGGAACAGGGAUUGAUGAACUUGAAUAUAACCAAUGAGGUUUCUGUAAGUUGUGCUGGUGAACUAAUGGAGGGGAACCAAACUGUUACCUCAAGCAAGAGUGAGCCAGAAAAACUAGAGGUUGUUGGUUGGUUAAGAAAACCAAGAAUUAAUGUACAUGAGGAAAUAUUUACAGAAAGAUCACAAGUUAAGAUUCGCUGUGAAGCUGAGAGAGGAAUACACUGCCAUUUCUACAUUAAUCAGACCAAUGAAUCUAAGGUGCUAUUGGUGAAAGAGCCAUUCAAGAAAGAGUUUAAAGUCUGUAUUGCCACUAUAUUUGGGAGCGAGCUGCUGAAAAGGAAAGGUAAUGGGAACAGUACUGAGGUCAUUCUGAGCUGUACUGUUGAUCUUGAAGGAAAAGGAAAACCACUUACCUCUCCGCCUAGUGAGAACAGAAUAAUCAAAGUUGGGGAUUUGGGUGUCAAUGGGCCCACAACAAUUUGUCUUACUGAGUCAGAAUGGCCCAUAGCUGAAUCCAAGACUGCAUCAUCAACGGAUGGACAAAGUAAUUUUUCGAACACCUUCAUCUGGACACUUUCUGGUGGACUGUUGUUUUUAGUCUUUUUCAUAGCAACAGGCCUGAUCCUAAUCUGUUUAAAACACAGAAAAAUCCAAUAUGAUUGUGAAAGGAACAAGCAGACUGAAGAAAACAAUACUGAAUUGUAUUCUGCCGUCAAUGAAAAUGAUCAAAAGAUUUCAAAGCUGCACGACACAGGCUCUGAAAUGUACUAUAGCAAAGUGAAACGAUACAAGCAACCUGGCAAAGCUGACCAAUUGGCUCAGCUCCAUCCAAAGGAAGAGUACUGCACUGUGGGGAUACAAUUUGACAGUAACCCCACAACCACAUCAGACAACAUCUGCUCCAUUUACGGAACCAUAGACAAUUAAAAAGAACAGAGAAAUGGAGCAAUAUUUUAAUAGCCUUUCUGAUAAACUAUUUCCUUAUUACUUAUACCUGUCCAUGUGUCUUUAUGCCUUUGUACUUUGUUAUGUGUGGUUUAUCUUUGGCUUUUACACUAGAUGUCUGCUUCUUGAUGAAGUCCUUUCAAUAUUGUUGUUAUCUUAAAAUAUCAAAUUUCUGAGUUUCCAACACAAACAUCAGACUAAUACUGAUACCUGAUAGUGAAGCUUAGUUUUACUUAUCUCUUUAUAAUGAAAGAUAUAUUCCAUGGUUUUUCUUAUAACAAGACAUCAAAGUUUAAUUUUCUCCACAUUGAUCAUUUUCCUCAAUGUUUUUAUACAUUAUCCUGUAUUGUUCUUCAUUCAGUCAGUGAAAGAAAAUUACUGGUAAUACAAUCCCAUGCUUGUAUACUUACUGAAUGCUGUCUGGUGCUGUAGAAACACACUGUACAGUACAUAUCCCUAUACUGUAUUGUUCCUCUCUGGUUAAAGAAGAGAGAAAUUGUGCCCCUGAUGUACUGUGCACAUGUUCUGGUGUGUGUUUUGUCACUGGGGAACACCUGGACAAACUUGGUUUUGAAAUAUUUUGAUAAUACGUAUAUUUUGAAAAUGAACAUUUAAUUGAAAGUUUCUUAUAAUCUAAAGGCAAAUUUACUUAACCUGACCUACAUUUUCUUAUACUGUAGCUUACUUAGCGAUUUUACCUUUAUGUCUUCAAUAAACUUUUUUGGUUUAAUGUUAGUGUUCUUCUUAUUUUAGGAAUGAUGUAAAGUAAUGUAAUUACACUUGCUUAAUUUUUUAAUUAUAUAUUUAACACAAUUUAUUUAGUUUAGGGGUUGCAACAUUACAUUUUAUAAGUGGAUAAUAAUCCAAUUCUGUAAAUAAUUACUUAUAAUUACUUGAUGAAGAUUUGGAAUAUGGUUCAAACUAUGGAAAAAACUUUUGUUACUAAUGUAAUUAAUCCACUGCAGCAUUUGAAUAUUAUCACUUUUAUGUCACUCCAUUAAUCUUUUUUGUAAUAUAUUUAAUUUUAAAAACAUUACUACACAAAUUAGGAGUAAAACACAUUCCUGUUUUAAUGUUUCAGUUGCUUUUAUUUUCUUGUUUAAGUCCAAACGUAUGGAAAUGUAUCAAUCUCUGAACAAGGUCUGUUCAAUUACACAUAUAAUCUGUGUAUGUGAAUGUUAAUAUUAUUUCCUAUCCUUUUUACUUUGGCAAAUAAGUGCUUCCAAGUCACUUCCAAGUCACUUGCCAGAAAGUUUUGGGAGGUUCUAUUUCUAUUUUUUCUUAAUCCGACUCAGUAAAUAUUAUACUAAAUGGAAUAACAAAAUAAAACAUGUUCAAACAUGUUUUAAUGACCAGAGAUCUAGUAAUAUGAUAAUGAUAACUAAAUGAUCUGAAUUGAUUCUAAAAAAAGACUUUAAUUGGGUGGCUCUGUGGCUAAGGAUCUGCACCUGUGGCUGGAAGGUUGCCGAUUGCUGGCAGAGGAAUCCUAAUCUGUUCGGACCCUGAGCAAGGCACAUAACCCCAGCUGCUCCAGGGGUGCUGUACAAUAGCUGAUCCUGCGCUCUGACCCCAAGCUUCUCUCCCUGUCUGUGUGGCUCAUGGAGAGCAAUCUGGGGUAUGAGAAAAAACAAAUUCCUAAUGCAAGAAAUUGUAAUGGGUCAAUAAAGUGAUGUAAUUUUUUAAUUAUUGUCAGAUUAUAAUAGCUUUUACAAUAAAAAUUAUAUUCAUGAAAAACACAACCUUUACCCCUGUUUUAGUGGUUCCACUAAGCACCUGGGUUUUAUCUUUAAAAAAAAAUGAUGGUGAAUUGUGACCAAACAAACUUUUAAAUACUUAAGGUGGAGUCAUAGCACAAAUGCAGUUUAAGAAGGAAUUUAUGUACUGUAUGAAGGGGUUGGAGUAAUGCAACAUUUACAUACAAAAUAGAAAAACAAAAAAG